GGAAGCAAAAGUCGUAACAAGGUUUCCGUAGGUGAACCUGCGGAAGGAUCAUUAAUGAGUUGUCAUGGGGUUCGAUGCUGGCAGCCAGUUUUUGGAUGCAUGUGCUUGCCCUAACAAUCAUCUUCUUCCAAACACCUGUGCACAUUUUUGAGGGAGUCUUGAGUUGGUUGCCGCUCUUGGGUGAUUUUCUCACAUUCCCUUAAAUCAUUAUACGCUAUUAACAAUGUUGAACGUGCUCUGUGCCGCAAGGCCAUUAAUAUAAUACAACUUUUAACAACGGAUCUCUUGGCUUUC
rnacentral:misc_RNA from 1 species